rnacentral:misc_RNA from 1 species
AAAAAAAAAAAUGGCCUACACCACAUUUAUAGACAUAUAUUUAGCAAAAAGAGCUAGCCUAUAUAUUGGACAUCCAACCAACAAAUGUCCAAAUCAAAAAGAACUGUCCUAUAUCACAUUUACACCCAACCAAUUCAAUUUGGAAAACAAAAAUUCUUGUAUGGCCUAUACCACAUUUACACCCAACUAAUACUUUAAUACCAAAACAAAGUGUGUCACCAAAAACAAAAUCCAAAGCCUG